GCGGAGGAAAAGAAACAACAGGGAUUGCCCUAGUAACGGCGAGUGAAGCGGCAACAGCUCAAAUUUGAAAUCUGGCUUCGGCCCGAGUUGUAAUUUGUAGAGGAUGCUUUUGGUGCGGUGCCUUCUGAGUUCCCUGGAACGGGACGCCACAGAGGGUGAGAGCCCCGUAUAGUCGGACACCAAGCCUCUGUAAAGCUCCUUCGACGAGUCGAGUAGUUUGGGAAUGCUGCUCAAAAUGGGAGGUAAAUGCCUUCUAAAGCUAAAUACUGGCCAGAGACCGAUAGCGCACAAGUAGAGUGAUCGAAAGAUGAAAAGCACUUUGAAAAGAGGGUUAAACAGCACGUGAAAUUGUUGAAAGGGAAGCGCUUGUGACCAGACUUGCGCCAGGUGGAUCAUCCAGCGUUCUCGCUGGUGCACUCUGCCUGGUUCAGGCCAGCAUCGGUUUUCUCAGUGGGAUAAAGGCUCUGGGAAUGUAGCUCCUCCGGGAGUGUUAUAGCCCGUUGCACAAUACCUCUGAGGGGACCGAGGUUCGCGCUCUGCAAGGAUGCUGGCGUAAUGGUCAUCAGCGGCCCGUCUUGAAACACGGACCAAGGAGUCAAGCAUUAGGGCGAGUGUUUGGGUGCAAAACCCGCACGCGUAAUGAAAGUGAACGUAGGUGAGAGCUUCGGCGCAUCAUCGACCGAUCCUGAUGUAUUCGGAUGGAUUUGAGUAAGAGCCUUACCGCUUGGACCCGAAAGAUGGUGAACUAUGCUUGUAUAGGGUGAAGCCAGAGGAAACUCUGGUGGAGGCUCGCAGCGGUUCUGACGUGCAAAUCGAUCGUCAAAUAUGAGCAUGGGGGCGAAAGACUAAUCGAACUAUCUAGUAGCUGGUU
rnacentral:rRNA from 1 species